AUGGUGAUGCUUCAGCUUUCCGCCGUAGUCCUCCUCGCGCUCGUUGCCCCCUCCCUGGCCGGGGACGCCGACAUGCUUCAGGACGUCUGCGUCGCCGACUUGGCAUCCCCGAUCAAGCUGAACGGGUUCCCGUGCAAGACGCACAUCACUGCGGACGACUUCUUCUUCGCCGGUCUCAAGAGGUCUGGCAACACCAACAAUGCGGCAGGGUCCAACGUCACGGCGGCAAAUGUACAGUCAUUCCCUGGGGUGAACACGCUUGGCGUGUCCAUGGCACGCAUCGACUACGCGCCCGGAGGCCAGAACCCGCCGCACACCCACCCACGCGCCACGGAGAUCAUCUUCGUCCUUGAAGGAGUCCUGGAGGUGGGCUUCAUCACCACCGCCAACAAGCUCUUCACUAAGACUGACACCGUGGGAGACGUGUUCGUUUUCCCGCGUGGGCUCGUGCACUUCCAGCAGAACAGGGGACGUGGCCCGGCCUCCUUCAUUGCCGGCUUCAACAGCCAGCUCCAGGGUACACAAGUCAUCGCCAACACACUGUUCGCUGCCGCGCCGCCAGUACCGAGCGAUGUGCUGGCCAAGGCCUUCCGGAUCGACAACAGCCAAGUGGACGCUAUCAAGGCCAAGUUCAUGUAG
rnacentral:rRNA from 1 species